UGGGGGUGUAGCUCAGGCAGGCAGAGCAACCGAUUCUGGAUCGGAACGUCGCCCGUUCGAAUCGGGCCACCCCCACCC
rnacentral:tRNA from 1 species